CACACUGACAGCAGAAUGGGAGCAUUGUGUCAUCACUGAUAUCUGCCUGAGGGGCUUGGAGCCCAAGUAGUCUUGUUCCUCAUCACUGGGACAAAAUACGCAGCACCCACAACCUAAAGGGAGGGAGAAUUAUUUUGACUCUAUUUUAGAAGUUUCAGUCCUUCCAUGAUCAGCAACAGGAUGGAAGGAUCUGGACAAAGGAAAGCUUCUCUCCUUGUGGUGGACAGGAAGCAGAGAAGCGGGGGAGCUGCGGAAGGAGAUGUCCUUCCAGGUCAUGCCCCCAGGUAGGGCCUCAUCCAGUAAGACUCCACCUCCUGACAGCAAGUCAGCUCUGCUGCCCCCAUAGUCCAAUCACCUCUGCCUCUAAGCGCCCGUGGCUUCGGGGGGACACCCCAGAUCUAAACCUUAACACUCCUCUUAUCCACAGUUUGGCUUUCUGAGGCUUCCAUUACCUGAAGUCAACCAGGAUCCAAAAAUAUUACAUAGAGAAUUCCAGAAAUAAUUCAGAAGCUUUACAUCAUCUGCUAUUCUGAGCAGCAUGGUAAAAUUUCAUACUGUCUCACUUUGUCCUAUCUGGGACUUGACCCUUCGUGCAGUUAAUCCAUGCUCUAUAUGCUGCCUAGCCAAUGGUCACAUGGUAGCCUUCUUGGUUAUCAGAUCACCUGUUGCAGUAUCACAGGGCUUGUGUGCAAGUAACUUCUUUUACUGAAUGGUGACUUCAAAGCACAAGAAUAGCGGUGUUGGAAAUUCAUAUACGCCGAAGGGAAGGUGUGAAGUGCUUACUUCAAGUGAAAAGGUGAAAGUAUGUACGAAACGUUCUCUGGACUUCGCUGUGCAGGAUGUGUCUAUUCCAAUGGGACUACAAGUUCCUUGAUUAAAAAGCAAGACUCGCAAGUCAUCGUGCAGAUUCCUCCCAAAAAAGAAGAAAAUAAGGAAAUUUACUGCUUAAGGCUAUCAGCGAGGCAGAUUCUGACUGCAAGUCUUCAAGUCCAUCCUGCAAGGUGCCAGGCUCCCUCCAGCCUGUGGCCUCGAAGCCCCUCCCCCAUGUGACGCUCUCCCAACUGCCCAUGCCCCACUUCUCGUGACCGCGGAGUCAUCACCGUCGGGAGGCUGCAUCCCAGUGCCUUCUUCAUCCUCACCCCAAGCCGAG
rnacentral:lncRNA from 1 species